CGGCGGACGGGUGAGUAACGCGUGAGUAACCUGCCUUCAAGAGGGGGAGUAACACAGAGAAAUUUGUUGCUAAUAACGCAUGAAAUCACAGUACCGCAUGGUACAAUGAUCAAAGAUUUAUUCGCUUGAAGAUGGACUCGCGUCUGAUUAGCUAGUUGGUGGGGUAACGGGCUCACCAAGGCGACGAUCAGUAGCCGAACUGAGAGGUUGAUCGGCCACAUUGGGACGUGAGACACGGCCCACGACUCCUACGGGAGGGCAGCAGUGGGGAAUAUUGCGCAAUGGGGGCAACCCUGACGCAGCAACGCCGCGUUAAGGAUGAAGGCUUUCGGGUUGUAAACUUAUGUCGGGUGGGAAGAUAAUGACGGUACCACCGGAGAAAGUCACGGCUAACUACGUG
rnacentral:rRNA from 1 species